AGAGUUUGAUCCUGGCUCAGGACUAACGCUGGCGGCGUGCCUAACACAUGCAAGUCGAACGAAGUAGCAAUACUUAGUGGCAGACGGGUGAGUAACACGUAGUCAACCUGCCUCUCAAUGGGGGAUAACUAGCCGAAAGGUUAGCUAAUACCGCAUACGAUCGCCGAGUGGCAUCACACGGCGAUGAAAGAAGCAAUUCGUUGAGAGAGGGGACUGCGCCCCAUUAGUUAGUUGGUGGGGUAACGGCCUACCAAGACUCCGAUGGGUAGCUGGCUUGAGAGAGCGACCAGCCACACUGGAACUGAGACACGGUCCAGACUCCUACGGGAGGCAGCAGUGAGGAAUUUUCCGCAAUGGGGGAAACCCUGACGGAGCGACGCCGCGUGUGGGAAGAAGGCCUUCGGGUCGUAAACCACUGUCGAGGGGGACGAUAUUGAUGGUACCCCUGGAGGAAGCCCCGGCUAACUACGUGCCAGCCGCCGCGGUAAUAC
rnacentral:rRNA from 1 species